rnacentral:rRNA from 1 species
CCUACGGGUGGCAGCAGUGAGGAAUAUUGGUCAAUGGGCGCGAGCCUGAACCAGCCAAGUCGCGUGCAGGAUGAAGGUUCUAUGGAUCGUAAACCUCUUUUGUAAGGGGAUAAAGUGUAGGACGUGUCCUAUUUUGUAUGUACCUUAUGAAUAAGGAUCGGCUAACUCCGUGCCAGCAGCCGCGGUAAUACGGAGGAUCCAAGCGUUAUCCGGAUUUAUUGGGUUUAAAGGGUGCGUAGGCGGAUUGAUAAGUUAGAUGUGAAAUUUCCGAGCUUAACUCGGGAACUGCAGUUAAUACUGGUGAUCUAGAGAGCAGAUGCGGUAGGCGGAAUGUAUGGUGUAGCGGUGAAAUGCUUAGAGAUCACAAAGAACACCGAUUGCGAAGGCAGCUUACCAAUCUACAUCUGACGUUGAUGCACGAAAGCGUGGGGAGCAAACAGGAUUAGAUACCCCUGUAGUC